rnacentral:rRNA from 1 species
CCUACGGGGGGCUGCAGUGGGGAAUAUUGCACAAUGGGGGAAACCCUGAUGCAGCAACGCCGCGUGAGCGAUGAAGGCCUUCGGGUCGUAAAGCUCUGUCCUAAGGGAAGAAUAAUGACGGUACCUGACUAAGAAGCCCCGGCUAACUACGUGCCAGCAGCCGCGGUAAUACGUAGGGGGCAAGCGUUAUCCGGAAUCACUGGGUGUAAAGGGUGCGUAGGCGGUAGGGCAAGUCAGAUGUGAAAGCCCGGGGCUCAACCCCGGGACUGCAUUUGAAACUGUCUUACUAGAGUGCAGGAGAGGAGAGUGGAAUUCCCAGUGUAGCGGUGAAAUGCGUAGAUAUUGGGAGGAACACCAGUGGCGAAGGCGGCUUUCUGGACUGUAACUGACGCUGAGGCACGAAAGCGUGGGGAGCGAACAGGAUUAGAUACCCGAGUAGUC